rnacentral:tRNA from 1 species
AGACCCACCAAAUCUUCCGAACAUAAGAUGCGAGGAUCAGUGGGGGAUUAGCUCAGCUGGGAGAGCACCUGCUUUGCAAGCAGGGGGUCGUCGGUUCGAUCCCGUCAUCCUCCACCAACCAAUAUGACCUGCGGUAGGGCAAAGAAACUAACACCAAAGCGGCUUCGCAAGAGGCCUCUUUGUUGUUGGUCCGGUAUAGACCGGGUCAAUCGGCUGUUCUUUAAAAAUUCAUAGAGUCGAAUCAGCGUUGUCGGCGGAAAGCAGGAAACUGCACCGUGCCGUCGGCAACAAAAAUUUGAUUGCGUCAAAACGAAUAUUCAAUUGAGCGAAAGCUGAUUGAAGUUCAGUAAUGACGAAUUGUUCUCUAGGUAGCAAUACCGAAGAAGAAUUCACAUUACGGCAUAACGCGCGAGGUGAAAGACCUCGCAAGUCCUUGAAAGAAAGCGGAGAUGUC